UGUUCACUGUUCAUAGUGCAUCUUAUCUACUAAUUAGGCCUAUCACUGUCUCACUUCUGCAGAGCCAAUCUUGUGAAAAUACAUCAAAUGUAAAGUAAUAGCUACUUACGAAUAAGCUUCGGAAUUGUUGAGACAAUUUCAUCGCCGAACUGGCAACGAAACCAUGAGGAUUAUUCGAUCACUUCUGUCUCUGUCAAGACAAAGAUUCCCUGCCCCACCAAAAGCUUCUAUCGUUUUCCCACAAGAGGAAAUUCGAAACUUCUGGCAGCUGCUGAAGAGUAAGAGACUAUGGUGGCUUGCAAUACCCACAUUUUUCUGGGCACACCAUGUUCAAUACAGAAAUGAUGUUUCCUGCGUUGCUGCGGUCCGAUCAGAUGUAAAACUGUAUCCCAAGAAACCACACGUGCCAUAUUUUCAUCUUUAGCAUUUCAUUUGUUUUGCCUAAUACAGUAAUCUGAUAAAUUUGUAUCAACACUACACUAUUGUGUGCAAGGUUUUGUGAGGAUAAAGUAAAGCAGUUGAAUAUCUGUUUCUCUCUUUCGUUAUCCUCAUUCAUUUCUCCCUAAUAGGAUGAAUGGGCAUUCCUUCAUUCUGUGUCAGUAAAAUUAAUGAGGUUAUAUACCAACUGUUACA